CGGUGGAGCAGUGUGGUUUAAUUCGAAGCAACGCGCAGAACCUUACCAGCGUUUGACAUGGUAGGACGACUGGCAGAGAUGCCUUUCUCCUUCGGGGACCUACACACAGGUGCUGCAUGGCUGUCGUCAGCUCGUGUCGUGAGAUGUUGGGUUAAGUCCCGCAACGAGCGCAACCCUCGACUUUAGUUACCAUCAUUAAGUUGGGUACUUUAAAGUAACCGCCGGUGAUAAGCCGGAGGAAGGUGGGGAUGACGUCAAGUCCUCAUGGCCCUUACGCGCUGGGCUACACACGUGCUACAAUGGCAAGUACAGUGGGCAGCAAUCCCGCGAGGGUGAGCUAAUCUCCAAAACUUGUCUCAGUUCGGAUUGUUCUCUGCAACUCGAGAGCAUGAAGGCGGAAUCGCUAGUAAUCGCGGAUCAGCAUGCCGCGGUGAAUAACGUUCCCAGGCCUU
rnacentral:rRNA from 1 species